rnacentral:sRNA from 1 species
ACCUUCGAUUAAGGUUCGACUCGAGCGAAAGCGAGAGAACGUUGCCAACGGCAACGGCCCGAAGGGUGAGGAGCGAAGCGACGAAUAAUCCUUCCCCCACCACCA